rnacentral:rRNA from 1 species
AUUGAACGCUGGCGGCAUGCCUUACACAUGCAAGUCGAACGGCAGCACGGGAGCAAUCCUGGUGGCGAGUGGCGAACGGGUGAGUAAUAUAUCGGAACGUGCCCAGUCGUGGGGGAUAACGUAGCGAAAGCUACGCUAAUACCGCAUACGAUCUACGGAUGAAAGCGGGGGAUCGCAAGACCUCGCGCGAUCGGAGCGGCCGAUAUCAGAUUAGGUAGUUGGUGGGGUAAAGGCUCACCAAGGCGACGAUCUGUAGCGGGUCUGAGAGGACGACCAGCCACACUGCGACUGAGACACGGCCCAGACUCCUACGGUAGGUAGCAGUGGGGAAUUUUGGACAAUGGGCGCAAGCCUGAUCCAGCAAUGCCGCGUGCAGGAUGAAGGCCUUCGGGUUGUAAACUGCUUUUGUACGGAACGAAACGGCGAGCUCUAAUACAGUUUGCUAAUGACGGUACCGUAAGAAUAAGCACCGGCUAACUACGUGCCAGCCGCCGCCGUAA